GCUAUCGGGCCCAUACCCCGAAAAUGUUNGUUCACACCCUUCCCNUACUA
rnacentral:tRNA from 1 species